rnacentral:rRNA from 1 species
ACGAAGGUGGCUAGCGUUGCUCGGAAUUACUGGGCAUAAAGCGCGCGUAGGUGGUCCUGUAAGCGGGGGAUGAAAGCCCAUGGCUCACCCAUGGAACUGUCCUUCGGACUGCAGGGCUGGAGGGCGGGAGGGGAGAAUGGAAUUCCCGGUGUAGCGGUGAAAUGCGUAGAUAUCGGGAGGAACGCCGGUGGCGAAAGCGAUUCUCUGGCCCGUUCCUGACACUGAGGCGCGAAAGCUAGGGGAGCAAACAGGA